GACGAACGCUGGCGGCAGGCUUAACACAUGCAAGUCGAACGCCCCGCAAGGGGAGUGGCAGACGGGUGAGUAACACGUGGGAACGUACCCUUUGGUUCGGAAUAACUUGGGGAAACUCAAGCUAAUACCGGAUAAGCCCUUAUGGGGAAAGGUUUACUGCCGAAGGAUCGGCCCGCGUCUGAUUAGCUAGUUGGUGAGGGAAUGGCUCACCAAGGCGACGAUCAGUAGCUGGGCUGAGAGGAUGAUCAGCCACACUGGGUCUGAGACACAGGCCAGAAUCCGACGGGAGGCAGCAGUGGGGAAUAGUGGACAAUGGGGGCAACCCUGAUCCAGCCAGGCCGGGUGAGUGAUGAAGGCCUUAGGGUUGAAAAGCUCUUUUACCCGGGACGAUAAUGACUGUACCGGGAGAAUAAGCCCCGGCUAACUUCGUGCCAGCAGCCGCCGUAA
rnacentral:rRNA from 1 species